AACGAACGCUGGCGGCGUGGAUAAGACAUGCAAGUCGAACGGGGCAAAAUUUGUAGUAAUACAAUUUUGUUCAGUGGCGAACGGGUGCGUAACACGUGAGUAAUCUGCCGAAAAGUGGGGGAUAGCUUACCGAAAGGUAAAUUAAUACCGCAUGUGGCCAAGGAGAUCAUUCUCCUGACGCUAAAGUAGCAAUACGCUUUUUGAUGAACUCGCGGCCUAUCAGCUAGAUGGCGGGGUAACGGCCCACCAUGGCUAUGACGGGUAGCUGGACUGAGAGGACGACCAGCCACACUGGAACUGAGAUACGGUCCAGACACCUACGGGUGGCAGCAGUCGAGAAUUUUUCACAAUGGGGGAAACCCUGAUGGAGCGACGCCGCGUGGAGGAUGAAGGCCUUCGGGUUGUAAACUCCUGUCAUGCGGGAACAAGAAAGUGAUAGUACCGCAAGAGGAAGAGACGGCUAACUCUGUGCCAGCAGCCGCUGUAAAAC
rnacentral:rRNA from 1 species